ensembl:lincRNA
GUCUUAACCACUCACAUGGCAUUUGUUUUAGCCUAACGCCUCCCAUGGAGGAAUAAAAUAGGAGUGGGAGAAAGAGGCUAGCGAUGGAGAAUAUUAUUUUUAGCUAGAAAAAAAUGUUAAAAUAAGCAAGUGAGUGAUAUCACGGAACACAGCCUCCUCUGGUUUCUACAUCCAUCCAUGACACAGUUCACAUGGUCCAGGGUUCCGUGGAACUAUAUGAAAACAAUGUGUUUGCUAUUUAUAGGGAAUCGCCUUGGGGAAACCAGCUCCUCCAAGAAGCGGAAUAGAUGGUUGAGAGGCAAACUGGAUGCAGUGGAUGGGGGAUUUUCAAAGGUGGUGUCUGCCAUAUUUUCGCAAAGAACAGUUUUCAAGUCUUGAAGAGACCCGUUGGCGUAAGCACAUUCCAGAUGAUAAUGUGGGGGCAGGACAAAAGCAACAUCGUUGUGAAAACACCUUUAACAUGAGACAUUCCAAUGGAACUGUGCAUGAACAACAAGGGACACAAACUGCUAAUGUGAGAUCAUCAAGGAAGGAGUCUGACUGUAACUUAUACCUCUCUUCCUCUGAUGAGAGUGACAAGCGGGGUGACUGGAAUCAGAGGGCAGCCUGUUCUCCUUUGGCAAACAAACACCCACUCUGUUCCCGAUAAGGCGCGUGUACCCUGAAGAUUGUGGCUCCUGACAGGUUCUCAGAGACCGAAGAGGAGGCUUGAGGUCUUCCCAGGAGGUUCCCCAACAUUCCUGCUGCUGGGGACAGUCCCCCGAGUUUUCACUUCAGCAAUGCCGAGGCCGCCUCAGGAGGAGCAUUCCUCUGAAGUGAAGAAAAGUCUUCAGACUUAAAAGUGCAAGUGUGUGGAGCAAAGGUAUCGAACGAAGCGCAUCGUGUCAGAUUUCUGUCACCGUCACAUAAUGCCCGCUAUAUUCAAUUUGAAAGAAGGGAAGGACUAUCAUUCAGGGUUCUGGCUUCAGAGACUUCAGUCUGUUGUCACACAGCCCCCCUGCAGCCCAGGAUGUCAGGGUCGGGAGCAUGUGGACCCCGAGGUCUGCAUUUCUCCACAGCCAGGAAGCUCAGAAUGAGGCAGAAAGGGCCAGUGUUCAAGAUCCUCUUCCAGACCGUACCAGGCCGCUAACUUCUGCUAGGGCCCAUCUCCUGAGGGUCUCACCAACCUCCAGAAGUCCAGAGGGCUGGGAUCAAGCCUUCCUUCCAUACAUGAGGCUUUGGGCAACAUUCAAGAUCCAACCUCCACCAGAAAGAGGGUGAUUUUUAACUUUAUUCUGAUAGGAAUCUAGCGUUUGAACAAAAACUGAAAAUGUAAAUAACACAUUACAUUAACACAUAGAAAAACAAAGCUAUAGAGAAAAGGGAAAGAAGUACAUUUGGUGUGAACCUCUCCUCCUUACAGACCCAUUACAAUCUAUGCACAUCUAUGCACAUUCUGAAGGGGCAGAUGCGGCAGGUGAGCUUCUAAAGGAGGAGAAGCCCCGACUCAGUCAAAGAUGAGGGUGAAACGUGUUCUCACUGGGUUUCAACAAGUUCGUCCGCAGUUCCCUCGAGGGAAUUUUCCAAUCAAAAUAAUGCAUUACCAAAUACAGAAAAGGAAUAUAUGAAUGUGUUAAACAAUUUUUGGAAAGAGGGAACAAUAAAGGAAAGGUACGUUAUCAGUGUUAGCUUGCUUAAUCAAAUAUGAGAUCACUGAACACCGCAAAGGAUGGAGAAAUACAAAAGUAAUACAGCUAGUCAACGUACUGCGCGGAAGAGACACUGUUUCAUGAUUGAUGCUAAAAGGUAUGUAUGCAGGAUUUGCAACGUCCAGAUCCCUACUGAGCACAAGGAAGCAUCCAAUGUAUAACAUGUUAAUGUUUUAAAUUUGUCUUCUCACUCAUAAUUUUCAGUUUCUCUAUACUUGGACAUACUGUCGUCGAUAGAAUCAUAGUACACUCUAUUGACAAAGUACUCCGUGCUUUUUUACCAACACCCUAUGUUUAAGGCAUUGGAUACACUGCCAAAUUGUUUUCCAGAGCGUUUGUAUCUCUUUCCAGCACCAUCAGCAAUGAAUGACAGGGGCUGUCACCCCAGAUCCUAGCCAACAUGCUGUUAAAAUAAAAAUAUAUCCGUACAGCCUUGUUUUAGCUCAGACUCUAAAUAUUUCAGUCAUAUAGGAGAUUUUUCCUGCUCUGAAGUAAAAUGUUGAAUUUUACUUAAAAUUGAGCUUGUGAUAUAUUUAUAUGCCAUGUGUAUUUUUCUCUACAAAAUAAUUUAAAAUCUGUCUUUGAGAAUAGGACCAACUGCUAAAUGCUUUCUGGUUUUAGCAAAUAUUUUAUUUUGGGCCAAAAAUUGCAGUCAAGUACCUUCAAAAUAUUUGGUAAUAAUACCAUCAUUCUGUUUGAUAAGACAAGUCCUUUGGAGAAUACACAAAAAUUCAUUGUAUGAUUAGGUUUGGAUAAUUACUUUGCAAGUAAUACAUUAAGGUUUUAAUAUACAGUGUUCAGAGGCUCCUUUUUAUUUAUAGCACAACAUACAAAGGGACAUAGAUAUGAAUUACUAUAUUUUCAAGUUUUUGAAGUAAUAUAGCACUCCUGCUACCAUCUUAUUAUCAUUUUUAAUCUUGUAGAAAGUAGAAAAUAGAGUAAAACAUAUUAUGACAAAAUUCAUGCAAUAUCAAGAAAAGUUAAAGAUCUUAAGUAAAAACAGAAUCCAACCAUUGACAUGAGUGAUGCAAUAAUACACUAUGAUUAGAGAAUUUUAAUACUGAAUAGAACAUGGAAUUGUGAGUAUUCUUUGAUUUUAUAUAAAAUUACAUCGAUGAGGGGUAAAAUAUACUUUUACAAAAUAAUGCAAGUAUCAUAAAUGGAACUGUACUUUGGUGGGUAGCUUGGAAACACCCAUUGAAACAAGUGACAAAAACUUUGAUCUCUCUGUUCCAAACUAUGCUUUACACUUUCAGGUUCAAUACGGUCUGAAAGAUCAUGUGACAUGUCAUGAGUUGCACUCUUGUCCAAUAAGCCAAAAUGCAGUUGUCUCAUGAGACUUUUAUGUACCCAUUCAAAAUAGGAAGAAAAUGUCUAAAGGAGUAGGGGAAGUGGGAGGGGUAGGAGAAAGGAAAGAAGAGAAAAGAAAAAAAAUAUGAGAAAUGGAAAAACAUGGAAACAAAGUCUUUGCAAAUAGGGAAGGGUGGAAGGAGGGUGGGGAAAUGGGGAAGGAAUAAGAACCAAGAUACAUCAUGUAAAGUUACAAGAUCCUAAUGAUGAACAUAACUGUACUGCAUACCUAAAAUGUACCAAUAAACGUAUGGAAAGAAAAAUAGCAGGGGGCAAAAACAACUAGGAAAUAUUACCUUUUUAUACCCUACAGCCUCCACAUACAUGAAUGUUAUGCAUACACAAGGUAAAAUUAAAAUUUUAAAAAUAAGAAAAUAUGAGGUAGUAUUUGUGACGAUAUGACAUAGCUUAUUAAUAAAACACUAAAACUACAAGCUGUAAUAAAAUUGAUUUUGAUUGGACUACGUAGGGGUUUUAUUUUAGGGAGUAAUCAUGAGAAAGGACAGACAAGCGUGUAAGAAAACUCAUUUGAAAUAUCAGAAACUGUCAAGAAAAUAGUACCUUUCAUAUGUAAGGAACCUCUAUAAAUCUACAAGAGAAAGAACAGGCAAAAUGUUAAUAUGCAACUUAUCUGUAUUCAUGCUAUCUAACAUUAUGUUCUGCAAAUUACUUCUCAUGCUCAUUUAUUGUUUCUUUUCAAAUAAUAAAUAAGUAACAAAUAUAUUGUGAAAAUACUUUGAGAGUGUUGUUUUUAUAAUACACAUUGUAAUGAAAUUUUAGUUGACUUUAAAGUCAUGUUUCCAAUGCUUAAAAACAACUGGAAGGAGGGCCCAGAAGUUGGCUCAGUGGUUCUGUAUCUGCCUCUCAAGCACAAGGCCCUGAGUUCUAUCCCCAGUACCCAAAUAAAAUAACAAUAAUAAAAUAAAAUAAAAUAAAAUUGACUUAUUUUAAAAAUUGAAGGGUAGCUUAAACUCACAGAACUUCUCAACUAACACAUUAUCAGUAAAAUCCACAAAAAAGUCACGAAAUAGAACAUUCACAACAUCAAAG